rnacentral:rRNA from 1 species
GAGCGGAAGAUGGGAGCUUGCUCCCUGAUGUUAGCGGCGGACGGGUGAGUAACACGUGGGUAACCUGCCUGUAAGACUGGGAUAACUCCGGGAAACCGGGGCUAAUACCGGAUGCUUGUUUGAACCGCAUGGUUCAAACAUAAAAGGUGGCUUCGGCUACCACUUACAGAUGGACCCGCGGCGCAUUAGCUAGUUGGUGAGGUAAUGGCUCACCAAGGCAACGAUGCGUAGCCGACCUGAGAGGGUGAUCGGCCACACUGGGACUGAGACACGGCCCAGACUCCUACGGGAGGCAGCAGUAGGGAAUCUUCCGCAAUGGACGAAAGUCUGACGGAGCAACGCCGCGUGAGUGAUGAAGGUUUUCGGAUCGUAAAGCUCUGUUGUUAGGGAAGAACAAGUGCCGUUCAAAUAGGGCGGCACCUUGACGGUACCUAACCAGAAAGCCACGGCUAACUACGUGCCAGCAGCCGCGGUAAUACGUAGGUGGCAAGCGUUGUCCGGAAUUAUUGGGCGUAAAGGGCUCGCAGGCGGUUUCUUAAGUCUGAUGUGAAAGCCCCCGGCUCAACCGGGGAGGGUCAUUGGAAACUGGGGAACUUGAGUGCAGAAGAGGAGAGUGGAAUUCCACGUGUAGCGGUGAAAUGCGUAGAGAUGUGGAGGAACACCAGU